rnacentral:rRNA from 1 species
UACGUAGGGUCCGAGCGUUGUCCGGAGUUACUGGGCGUAAAGCGCGCGCAGGCGGCUUCAUAAGUCUGGCGUGAAAGCCCCCCGGCUCAACCGGGGAGGGUCGUCGGAGACUGUGGAGCUUGAGGGCGGUAGGGGCUGGUGGAAUUCCCGGUGUAGUGGUGAAAUGCGUAGAGAUCGGGAGGAACACCUGUGGCGAAGGCGGCCAGCUGGGCCGACCCUGACGCUGAGGCGCGAAGGCGUGGGGAGCGAACGGG